rnacentral:rRNA from 1 species
CCUACGGGUCGCACCAGUGGGGAAUAUUGCACAAUGGGCGCAAGCCUGAUGCAGCCAUGCCGCGUGUAUGAAGAAGGCCUUAGGGUUGUAAAGUACUUUCAGUUGGGAGGAUGGCGCUGAUGCUAAUAUCAUCAACGAUUGACGUUACCAACAGAAGGAGCACCGGCUAACUCCGUGCCAGCAGCCGCGGUAAUACGGAGGGUGCAAGCGUUAAUCGGAAUUACUGGGCGUAAAGCGCACGCAGGCGGUUGAUUAAGUUAGAUGUGAAAUCCCCGGGCUUAACCUGGGAAUGGCAUCUAAGACUGGUCAGCUAGAGUCUUGUAGAGGGGGGUAGAAUUCCAUGUGUAGCGGUGAAAUGCGUAGAGAUGUGGAGGAAUACCGGUGGCGAAGGCGGCCCCCUGGACAAAGACUGACGCUCAGGUGCGAAAGCGUGGGGAGCAAACAGGAUUAGAUACCCUCGUAGUC